UUUUUAAUCAGUUUGCAGGAAAUGGAGCAAAGCAGAGCAAACAGAAAAGAGUGGCAGGGUGUUAAUUGCCACCUGAUAAUUAAAGCAAGGCAUAGUCAAGGAACAGAUAUCCUCCCAGCUUUCAGCAUGAAAACGGUGAUGGGCAGCAUCUCUGGAUGCUCAGCGCUGUUUUGAUAACCCUGGGAAGCUGCUGCAGGGAGGGCCUCAGUGACACAAAAGUCUGUGUCUCAGAACACACAUUAUCAGAUUUUGUUGUGGGCUCACAGAGGUGGUGGUUAAACUCCCCUUCUUCCCACACUUCAAGCACAUGUGUUUUAUGGAAGAACAUAAAUUUGUCAACUCAGGAGUUUAUUAUAUCCAGUCAGCAAGAUGGACCACUAAACUUAAGGGACAGUACAGAAAAUAAAGCAGACAUGAAGGCCUGAAGAGCAUAAUGGGGAAAAUGGAAGUUUUAAAAUAGUCAUGGCAAAUUGAAAGCCAAGCUAUGCUCUGGGGAAUGCUCUGUUUCACAGCAAUGCGUGUGCUUCCCGGGCUGUACUGUGGAGAGAAGCAUGCAUUAAGAUUUCUUUUGAUAAGUCCAUGCAUUUGGUCGUGUGAUGAGGUCGAGGUGUUCUUCAAGAUACUUUUAUAGUGUGGUGCCCAUGACCUGAUAUGCCCUAGAAGAGAAAGAGAUAUGUAAAGUUUUUACAGACCUUGGAAGAAUGUAGCAUGGAUGGAAACAAGACACGUUCCUGAAGAAAUGUAUUAUUCGACAAAACUUGCCCAACUUGAGCAUUUUCC